UACGGGGGGGGGGUAAGCGUUGUUCGGAAUUACUGGGCGUAAAGGGCUCGUGGGCGGCCAACUAAGUCAUACGUGAAAUCCCUCAGCUUAACUGGGGAACUGCGUGUGAUACUGGAUGGCUUGGAUUUGGGAGAGGGAUGCGGAAUUCCAGGUGUAGCGGUGAAAUGCGUAGAUAUCUGGAGGAACACCGGUGGCGAAGGCGGCAUCCUGGACCAAUAUUGACGCUGAGGAGCGAAAGCCAGGGGAGCAAACGGG
rnacentral:rRNA from 1 species